AUGUUUUUGUCUAGGAUUUACUUGGAGUGUGAUUCUGGAUCUGGGACACAGGAGAUUUUGCGGUUUGGAUCUGGCUCAAAACUCAUCACUGAUGAGAACCAGCUCAGGAAACCCAAAGUGACAGUGUACCUGGCGUUCAAACCUAAGCUGAAAGGGAAGACCACCCUGCUAUGUCUGGCUAGAGACAUGUUUCCAGACUUGGUCAAGAUCUCAUGGAAGAUGGAGGAUGAGAACAGCCGAACCGUGGAGGUGCCCAAAGCAGAGAUGGAACAGCUGGAGCAGAGGGAGGAAGGACAGACGACCAGUAUGAUCAUCAUGUAUCAGGGAAAGGCAGACGCCAAAUACAUCUGUUCGGUGGAGCAUGAAGCGGGCCCUGAAGAAGCUGACACAUCAAAAGGUUUUUCAUCAAAGCAAAAUGUUUGCUCUCCAUCUACCAAUGCGAUGGCACCAUCCUACAUACCCAAUGCAACCUUCCAGUCCAUGUGCAGUCUGCGUCUGGCCUCUCUGGUUUACACAGUGAUGAUAGUGAAGAGCAUGGUGUACUGCUGUGGGCUCUCUCUCCUGAUGCACCACAGGAACAUGGGAAAUAGCCUCCCUUCCUGAAGAAAAGCUCAUCUCUUCAUUAUGAAGUGUCGUGAAAGAGCUCUGGGAAAUAAGGAGGAAAUUUCGGUCCCCAUUUUCGUCUUCCAAUUCCUCACAGUGAGAAAAAAGUACUAUUACUGAUAUCUAUGAGAGAUUUUUGUACUCCAAACUCGUUUGAAAACAUCUGUAAAAGUUACUGUUAUUUUAAAGGUAAAAAAUAGUCAUGGGUUGCUUGUUUCGUCACAAUAUUCUUUAGAGCUUUCUCUUGAGGACUGUUGGCCGACUAAAAUUUCUACUCAAUGCAUUCUCAAUUGGCGCUGAUUAAUAUUUAGUCUAAAGUGCAUUAUAAUGACUGGGAAACUGUGAUAUUUCUCAAGUAGACAAAUAAGUAGUGGGAAAACCUUUUGUCAUCAUUGUGAUGUCGCCAGAUUUCCUUCAGCUGCAGUAUAACGUUUACUAGCUAUCUGAACGUGAGGGGAGAGCACCGACUGUUACCUAGCUAACAUUAGUAUUGCUACAUUUUUUUUUUUACAAAGUUUACUAGCUAAUGACAUUGCCAUCUGUCUGAAGUAAAUGUGAAGACAUAGUAAUGCUGACAAAAUUGUUUCUUACUUAAUAUUUGCCCUGUUUAGCAAUAUCAUCGUAUUUCCCCGACUCUACAGUUUAAUUUAGACCAAACAUGGAUGCUAAGAAUGACUGGGCACCGCUAAAGUUGUUGGCAUCAAUAUCAAUGAUA